CGAGUGGCGAACGGGUGAGUAACGCGUGAGGAACCUGCCUCAAAGAGGGGGACAACAGUUGGAAACGACUGCUAAUACCGCAUAAGCCCACAGCUCGGCAUCGAGCAGAGGGAAAAGGAGUGAUCCGCUUUGAGAUGGCCUCGCGUCCGAUUAGCUGGUUGGUGAGGUAACGGCCCACCAAGGCNACGAUCGGUAGCCGGACUGAGAGGUUGAACGGCCACAUUGGGACUGAGACACGGCCCAGACUCCUACGGGAGGCAGCAGUGGGGAAUAUUGCACAAUGGGGGAAACCCUGAUGCAGCGACGCCGCGUGGAGGAAGAAGGUCUUCGGAUUGUAAACUCCUGUUGUUGAGGAAGAUAAUGACGGUACUCAACAAGGAAGUGACGGCUAACUACGUGCCAGCAGCCGCGGUAAAACGUAGGUCACAAGCGUUGUCCGGAAUUACUGGGUGUAAAGGGAGCGCAGGCGGGAAAGCAAGUUGGAAGUGAAAUCCAUGGGCUCAACCCAUGAACUGCUUUCAAAACUGUUUUUCUUGAGUAGUGCAGAGGUAGGCGGAAUUCCCGGUGUAGCGGUGGAAUGCGUAGAUAUCGGGAGGAACACCAGUGGCGAAGGCGGCCUACUGGGCACCAACUGACGCUGAGGCUCGAAAGUGUGGGUAGCAAACAGGAUUAGAUACCCUGGUAGUCCACACUGUAAACGAUGAUUACUAGGUGUUGGAGGAUUGACCCCUUCANUGCCGCA
rnacentral:rRNA from 1 species